CUAAAGCAUCCGUAGCCGGCUCUGUAGUUUUCGGUUAAAUCUGUACGCUUAACGUACAGGCUGCCGGGAAUACUGCCAAACUUGGGAGCGGGAGAGGUAGACGGUACUCGGUAGGAAGUGGUAAAAUGCUUUGAUCUAUCGAUGACCACCUGUGGCGAAGGCGGUCUACCAGAACACGAUCCGACGGUGAGGGAUGAAAGCUGGGGGAGCAAACCGGAUUAGAUACCCGGGUAGUCCCAGCUGUAAACUAUGCAAACUUGGGAUUGCAUUGGCUUGUGGCCAAUGCAGUGCUGCAAGGAAGCCGUUAAGUUUGCCGCCUGGGAAGUACGUACGCAAGUAUGAAACUUAAAGGAAUUGGCG
rnacentral:rRNA from 1 species